GACGAACGCUGGCGGCGUGCCUAAUACAUGCAAGUUGAGCGCUGAAGGUUGGUACUUGUACCAACUGGAUGAGCAGCGAACGGGUGAGUAACGCGUGGGGAAUCUGCCUUUGAGCGGGGGACAACAUUUGGAAACGAAUGCUAAUACCGCAUAAAAACUUUAAACACAAGUUUUAAGUUUGAAAGAUGCAAUUGCAUCACUCAAAGAUGAUCCCGCGUUGUAUUAGCUAGUUGGUGAGGUAAAGGCUCACCAAGGCGAUGAUACGUAGCCGACCUGAGAGGGUGAUCGGCCACAUUGGGACUUAGACACGGCCCAAACUCCUACGGGAGGCAGCAGUAGGGAAUCUUCGGCAAUGGACGAAAGUCUGACCGAGCAACGCCGCGUGAGUGAAGAAGGUUUUCGGAUCGUAAAACUCUGUUGGUAGAGAAGAACGUUGGUGAGAGUGGAAAGCUCAUCAAGUGACGGUAACUACCCAGAAAGGGACGGCUAACUACGUG
rnacentral:rRNA from 1 species